rnacentral:snRNA from 1 species
AGAAUUUAUCAUCCCAUUCAAUUAAAUUUGAACGAUAUAGAGAAGAUCAGCAUGAUCCCUACGCAAGGAUAACAUACACAAACCUAUGACAACACCAAAAUAUGU